CUCCUUGACCAGUAUGGGGCGGCGACUGCUUCCGGUCAUGUGGUGGCGACGGGUCGAGGGAACUCGGGUGAGGCGGACUGUCUCCCAUUUGUCGAUCUGUCCCCACCUCUUGUUCCUCCUCUCCCAUGGAACAUCACGUCCGUAGUUACUGCCACACACGGUGCUCUCCUCACCUGCAGCGAUCCUGUUGUGCUCCUCCACACAUCGGACCACCAUGGCAUGGAAGUACCCAGAGAAGAUCACGCUCCGCAUAGCAAAUUUGGGUGUUCUGAGUCGGCUACCUGACAAGUGUACUACAAUUUAAUAUGCAGAAUGCGAGCUUAAUUUGUUUGCCAGCGAUGUCCAAAGAGUUUCUCACUACCAUGAUUGAUAAGGAUACUAGGAGUCCUGGGCCCCUUUUGGUGCAGAUCUAGUCCAGUUCAAUGUUCGCUACAUUGGAUGGCGCUAUUAAAUACUUCAAGGUCAUGUGACAAAGCACGGGAAAAGAAAUAUCCAAGGUACUCCCUCCAUUACAAAAUAGAUUACUCAACUUUGUACUGACUUUAUUGAGUCAUCUAUUUUGGAACGGAGGGAGUAUGUUUCAUGUUCAUAAUAUGAUUUUGAGAUUCAGAUGCAAUUUUAUUUAAAAGACUUCCGUAUCAUAAUAUUCAAUUCCAAUGCAUUUGGAAUGGGCCAAGUCAAUUGUAAGAGUUGAAUUAGCUACUUCGCCUUUAAGUCCUUUGUGGUUUAGUUGUAAUUUUUUAUUUAAUGAACUCCUAAAUGCACCAUUUCUUAUGAGUAGGUAAUUUUUUAUAAAAAUCACAAUAAUGUUGUAUAUAUGUUUCGUGCCUCCAUGUCAAUCCUAAGAGGGCAGAGGCUGGGUUCCAUAUUUUUAUCGUCAGAUAUAACAAUGAUGAACCUUCAGGCAGGCCCCACAUCCGAUUGAUAUUAGGAAUGUUGAAGGUUGACCAGUUGUCUCUUCCUCUCCGUCGUCUCUCCAUGGUGUGCUUGUUAUAAACUUAUGUAGCAGCGGACGUCAAUUUCAUGCAGCCGCCGACAUCAAAUUUGGUGGAGUGCUCUUAUGGGAUCUGAUACGAGUCGCUCCGAGAUCAGAUAAGGUUUGGGCAUGCCAGAGGAUCCAAUAAUAAAUAGCAAACGGAUCGUAUCGUACGCUGUGUAACAUAUACUAUACAUUCCAUCAGUUGCACUGGGAAACCUAGAAUGACUAUGUAUUAAUAAACCAUGUGUUAGUGAAGACACAAACUUGGAUGUAGAGCUCAUGUUUGUUAAGUUGUUUGGUUGUAUGUGUGACAUGGUUCAUAUACAUAUUGCUAGCUACUUUAUUUUUUGUUCAUUGAUAAUACUAUAUUUAAGAAAUUACCAUGUUA